rnacentral:rRNA from 1 species
AUUGAACGCUGGCGGCAUGCCUUACACAUGCAAGUCGAACGGCGGCACGGGUGCUUGCGCCUGAUGGCGAGUUGCGAACGGGUGAGUAGUACAUCGGAACAGGUCCUGUAGUGGGGAAUAGCCCGGCUAAAGCCGGAUUAAUACCGCAUACGAUCCACGGAUGAAAGCGUGGGACCGUCUGGCCUCGCGCUAUAGGGUUGGCCGAUGGCUGAUAAGCUAGUGGGUGGGGUAAAGGCAUACCCAGACGACGAUCAGUAGCUGGUCUGAGAGGACGACCAGCUAGACGGUGACUGAGGAACGGCCGCGACUCUUAGGGGAGGACGCAGUGGGGAAUUCUGGACAAUGCGGCAAAGCCUAAUCCAGCAAUGUCGGGUGUGUCCAGAAGCACUUAUGGUUGGAAAGUAAUUAUGUCCGGAAAGUAAUCAUUGACUCUAACACAGUCUGGGGAUGACGGUACCGGAAGAAUAAGCACCGGCUAACUCCGUG